UACGUAGGGUGCAAGCGUUACUCGGAAUUACUGGGCGUAAAGCGUGCGCAGGCGGUGAUGUAAGUCAGAUGUGAAAUCCCCGGGCUCAACCUGGGAACUGCAUUUGUGACUGCAUCGCUGGAGUGCGGCAGAGGGGGAUGGAAUUCCGCGUGUAGCAGUGAAAUGCGUAGAUAUGCGGAGGAACACCGAUGGCGAAGGCAAUCCCCUGGGCCUGCACUGACGCUCAUGCACGAAAGCGUGGGGAGCAAACAGG
rnacentral:rRNA from 1 species